rnacentral:rRNA from 1 species
CCCUUAGAUGUCCUGGGCCGCACGCGCGUUACACUGAUGCAUUCAACGAGCUUAUAACCUUGGCCGAGAGGCCUGGGCAAUCUUGUUAACGUGCAUCGUGAUAGGGAUAGAUUAUUGAAAUUAUUAAUCUUGAACGAGGAAUUCCUAGUAAACGCAGAUCAUCAAUCUGCAUUGAUUACGUCCCUGCCCUUUGUACACACCGCCCGUCGCACCUACCGAUUGGAUGGUCCGGUGAAGCCUCGGGAUUGUGGCCAGUUCACUUUAUUGGGAGUUGGCUGUGAGAACCUGUCUAAACCUUAUCAUUUAGAGGAAGGUGAAGUCGUAACA